AACGAACGCUGGCGGCAGGCCUAACACAUGCAAGUCGAGCGCCCCGCAAGGGGAGCGGCAGACGGGUGAGUAACGCGUGGGAAACUACCCUUUGGUACGGAACAACUCGGCGAAAGCUGAGCUAAUACCGUAUGUGUCCUUCGGAGAAGAUUAUCGCCAAGAUGUGCCCGCGUCGGAUUAGCUAGUUGGUAGGGUAACGGCCCGACCAAGGCGACGAUCCGUAGCUGGUCUGAGAGGAUGAUCAGCCACACUGGGACUGAGACACGGCCCAGACUCCUACGGGAGGCAGCAGUGGGGAAUAUUGGACAAUGAGGGCAACCCUGAUCCAGCCAUGCCGCGUGAGUGAUGAAGGCCUUAGGGUUGUAAAGCGUCUUUCGCCCGCGAAGAUAAUGACUGUAGCGGGAGAAGAAGCCCCGGCUAACUUCGUGCCAGCAGCCGCGGUAAU
rnacentral:rRNA from 1 species